UUGCUAUGAAGAAUUAGUGCCUACAGUGAUCUGGGUCGAUCACAACCGUCCGAUCAUUCUGACGAAGUUUAGGGCGCAUCUGAGCUU